rnacentral:rRNA from 2 species
CUCAUUAAAUCAGUUAUCGUUUAUUUGAUAGUACCUUACUACUUGGAUAACCGUGGUAAUUCUAGAGCUAAUACAUGCUAAAAACCCCGACUUCGGGAGGGGUGUAUUUAUUAGAUAAAAAACCAAUGCCCUUCGGGGCUCUUUGGUGAUUCAUGAUAACUUAACGGAUCGCAUGGCCUUGCGCCGGCGACGGUUCAUUCAAAUUUCUGCCCUAUCAACUUUCGAUGGUAAGGUAUUGGCUUACCAUGGUUUCAACGGGUAACGGGGAAUUAGGGUUCGAUUCCGGAGAGGGAGCCUGAGAAACGGCUACCACAUCCAAGGAAGGCAGCAGGCGCGCAAAUUACCCAAUCCCGACUCGGGGAGGUAGUGACAAUAAAUACUGAUACAGGGCUCUUUUGGGUCUUGUAAUCGGAAUGAGUACAAUUUAAACCCCUUAACGAGGAACAAUUGGAGGGCAAGUCUGGUGCCAGCAGCCGCGGUAAUUCCAGCUCCAAUAGCGUAUAUUAAAGUUGUUGCAGUUAAAAAGCUCGUAGUUGAACCUUGGGCCUGGCUGGCCGGUCCGCCUCACCGCGUGUACUGGUCCGGCCGGGCCUUUCCUUCUGGAGAGCCGCAUGCCCUUCACUGGGUGUGUCGGGGAACCAGGACUUUUACUUUGAAAAAAUUAGAGUGUUCAAAGCAGGCCUUUGCUCGAAUACGUUAGCAUGGAAUAAUAGAAUAGGACGUGCGGUCCUAUUUUGUUGGUUUCUAGGACCGCCGUAAUGAUUAAUAGGGAUAGUCGGGGGCAUCAGUAUUCAAUUGUCAGAGGUGAAAUUCUUGGAUUUAUUGAAGACUAACUACUGCGAAAGCAUUUGCCAAGGAUGUUUUCAUUAAUCAGUGAACGAAAGUUAGGGGAUCGAAGACGAUCAGAUACCGUCGUAGUCUUAACCGUAAACUAUGCCGACUAGGGAUCGGGCGAUGUUUCUAUCUUGACUCGCUCGG